UACGGAGGGUGCAAGCGUUAUCCGGAUUCACUGGGUUUAAAGGGUGCGUAGGUGGGCAGGUAAGUCAGUGGUGAAAUCUCUGGGCUUAACCCGGAAACUGCCAUUGAUACUAUUUGUCUUGAAUAUCGUGGAGGUCAGCGGAAUAUGUCAUGUAGCGGUGGAAUGCUUAGAUAUGACAUAGAACACCAAUUGCGAAGGCAGCUGGCUACACGAAUAUUGACACUGAUGCACGAAAGCGUGGGGAUCAAACAGG
rnacentral:rRNA from 1 species